AGUCCCCAGCGGUGACGCCUCUUCAGUGCUGCGAGGAGGAACCAAAGAGGUGUGUGUACAGGGGAAGAUUUUGCUGACCGUACCAAAACAAGAAGUUCCCUGAGCGCAGCCAUAUUGCAAGCUCCAGCUGCUGCGCUCGUCUCUGUUGUUACCUGUCAAGCACCCGCUGCAGCACAGACUCCGCAAACACCAAUGAUUGUCAGUAUCAAGUCUCCGGUGCCAGCAGCUAUCAGCAUUAACCCAUUAGUGCCCGCAAGUCUGGUCGCAAGACUAAUUACAACUGGGUGCCUGCCAAAUAGAGGGGGAGCAUCCAUUACAGUACCCACAUCAGUCAAGUCAAAGCCGCUGCCGUACUACAGUAAGCAUCUUAAAGGAGAACGCACCUUUUUCUCUUAAAGCAACAGUACACUCAAAAUUCAACAGGAUGUCAGAACCCAGCUCUCCAGAUCAACCAGGCGACAGCACCCCUUCAUCUCCAGCAGAGAGCGCAUCACCUGCCCCAGCAGCCAGGAUCUGGCCAGCCCUGCUUGCAUUCAGCAUCAACAGUCCUGGAGUUCCAGCAUCUACACUGGUGCAUUUGCACACAGGACAACCUCAGGGACCAGUUUAGAGGAAGUCUGCACCUUGCCAGCCUCCAAGAAGGUGACCGUAGAGCAGAUCUUUGAAGGACUCUGUCAGAGGUACGUCUCCAGCUGUAUAAAAGGCGACAAAAGCCAGGCCAGCGGGCUGUGCAGCACCAUUUGAAAGUUCUACAGGUGGAGAAGAAGUUUACCAACAAGCAAGAUGAAAUCUGCAGAGUACAAGUUCAAGACACCAGGUCAGUGACCUUACAACCCAACAUGGAGACCAUCAUAUGGUGUUGUGCCCAAAUAGGGACUAUCAAAAAUAGGGACUAUGAAGCCCUGCUGGAACCUAUGUGUUUGGAAGAUCAUCCUCUUGUUCGAUCUGCGAGAAGCCUUGUCACUGUCACCAACGGGAGAGUCCCAGUGUAGUUAGUAAACCUGUCUGAUUCUGCUAAUGUCUUAUCCAAAUGCACUCCUGUAGCCCAGCUGUACCUCCUAGAGUUGAUGGACAUUGUGACAGAAUGUCUGGUGGCCCGACAGCGUGCAGCUCAAGUGGCCGAAGGAUCCAGUGUGAGCCCUCCAGAGCCCUGGUGGGCGCAACUCCAGGUUGGAGACGACACUACCCCAAGGGACCAAGUCAAUGGAAUCAUCAAUGUUGCCAAGAGGUACCAUGAGGCUUUCAGCAAGAACCCCACCGACUUUGGGCAGACUUCAAUGAUCCAGCACCGAAUCCUCACAGGUGAUAGCCCACCUAUCAAGGAAAGACACCACCCGGUCGCGCCAGGCAUAUAUCAGAGGAGGAGGCAGAUGUGAUUUAAGAAAGUCAGAGCCCCUGGGUGGCGCCACUUGUCCUGGUAAAAAAGAAAGAUGGAACCAUCCGCUUCUGUGUUGAUUACAGGAAACUGAACAAUGUCACACAUAAAGAUGCUUAUCCUUUGCCAAAGAUCGAGGAGUCACUCACAGCCCUUGGGUCGGCUACUUACUUCUCCACCCUGGACUUAACCAGCGGAUAUUGGCAAGUACAAUGUUUAAUGGGAAUCUAUAUUCGCGAAUAUAUGGACGAAUAUUCGUCAUAUUCGCGAAUAUUCGCAUAGUCGUAAUAUUCUCGUUUUAUUUUCGCAUAUGCGAAUAUUCGCGUGUGCGAAAAUUAACAUAUACGAAAAUUCACAUCUACAAAAUUAGCAUAAGCGGAAAUUCGCAUAUGCGAAAAUUAGCAUAUGCAAAUUUUCGCUUAUCCGAAAAUUCGCACACCGGUCUCACACAGUAGUAUUAGAGCCUUCUUACACCACAUAAGCUGGAAGCAGAGAGGGGUGAUCACUGUGAUUGUGUACUGUGAAAAAAAAAAUAAAAAAAAACGAAUAUUCGUAAUUACGAAUAUUCGUAAUUACGAAUAUAUAGCGCUAUAUUUGCGAAUAUUCGCGAAUUCGCAAAUAUGCGAUAUUCGCGAAUAAAAUUCGAAUUGCGAAUAUUCGCGAGCAACACUAAUACCUUUCACUUAUUAAGACAUGUAGAAACCAAGUCAGGUUGGCAGGAUGGAUAUAAGUAUCAUUGGAUGGGGCAAAUCUCAUUAUAAAAACACAGUAAUAAAACAAAUAUCCAUGACAGAAAUCUGAGGUUAUGCCUGGACAUGAAUAAGUGAAGAAUCUUUUGGAUGGAAAAAUCUGUUGUCUGUAUGGGGCCUAGCCCCUGCACCCAGUAUAGCUGCACUGCUAGCCCCAUUCUGUAUAAUAGCCAAAAAUCUCAUGGACCUGAUGUCAGAUAAGCAGAAAUUGUCUCCAGUCUACUAGGCCGUCUUUCCAUGUCCACAGUCCUUAUCAUGUCAUUGAGUUCUUAAAGAAAUAAUUUCUCCUUGGUGUUAAUAUUAAAAUAAUGAGAUGUUAAUAUAUAAAGAAUGAAUGUAUUUAUUACAUUUAUACAUGCAGCGUCUUGUUUACCCUUGACAUGGUCUUUCCAAGAAUAGAAGAGGCCCCCCCAGUCCCAUCCACCUAUGUGGUGCCCCAGGAGGGGCGGCACAUUAUGUAGGUCAGCUGCGUUGUCCCCGCUGUCUUCACACAUCACUUCAUACAAUGUCACACUUCUCCCCGGGCCGUGUGUCCUCCCAUUAGUGGGGGUGUAACAAUUACAUCUAGGUGCCAUUUUUAUAUUUUUUUUCUUGGAAUUCUUAGGAGGGGGUUUACCAAGAUGAUCGUUCUCUGCAUUGGGAAACCAUAUUUACUGUUAUUGCUUCCACAUGGCGGAGGGCAAAACAUCUGCUACCUGUAUACACAGGGCCCGGCGCCUCCUUUGCACCAUCUCUAGAUUAUAAACCUUAGAGAGCGAGGAUUUAUUGUGUACUUGUGGAAAAAAUAAAUAUUAAAAUGGGAUUAGCAUCGCUCUGGUGUGAUGGGAUGAUGGAUGCGAGCGCCUUCCACCUGUCAGGCCUGUUUGAUUUGUGAGGCGAAGCGUCUGUAGUUUAGUUGUGAAGCUGCGGAUUAGAUCCUAAGAGCUCGCCGCUUACCUUAUACAUAAUAAUAUGAUUAUUAACUAUAUUAAUGAUCGAGACUUUCUCAUCAGAAUUACAAUCUCAUGUGUGCUAAAUGACUAGAAACCUUCCUUGUGUAACAUCCAGAAGAGAUUGUAGUGGAAGCUUUUCCUGGGAGUAGUAGUCCGUCAAGGAUGUUUUUGGUGAUGUCACCUAACAGACUAGAAUGUCACACUUUUUAAGUAGAGUGAAGAGUUGGCGACUGUCCCUUUAAGAGUUGCUUUAUCGGCAGAUAAACUGACUGUAAAGUUUCUAGUGUGUAUUUCACAUGUGUUAGUGAGGCUAUGUUCCUAGUUGAG